AAAAGACUUAGUUUCAGCUUUAAAAUUUCCUUUAAGGCCAGCUGACUUCAGAGAAUAAGUGAAUUAUAAUUCCACUUCGAGAGUUAAAAAGGAACUGAUUUAUAACCAAUGAAAAGGUUGUAAAUUUGGAUUCCUGAAGAAUGAGAUCUUGGAUUGAAAUGAGAGGGGUGGGUCUUCUUUAAACAAGCCUCCUGCCCGUCCAGCGGGGCCAGUGCCCCCCAGCAGAUGGGGCCCCAGUGCCUUCAGAAGCUGCUGUUCCCGCUUUGGGAACAGCGGCUCCUGCCUUUGGGGCCCAAGCC
rnacentral:lncRNA from 1 species